UGGGGAAUAUUGCACAAUGGGCGAAAGCCUGAUGCAGCGACGCCGCGUGAGGGAUGACGGCCUUCGGGUUGUAAACCUCUUUCAGCAGGGACGAAGCGCAAGUGACGGUACCUGCAGAAGAAGCACCGGCUAACUACGUGCCAGCAGCCGCGGUAAUACGUAGGGUGCAAGCGUUGUCCGGAAUUACUGGGCGUAAAGAGUUCGUAGGCGGUUUGUCGCGUCGUUUGUGAAAACCAGCAGCUCAACUGCUGGCUUGCAGGCGAUACGGGCAGACUUGAGUACUGCAGGGGAGACUGGAAUUCCUGGUGUAGCGGUGAAAUGCGCAGAUAUCAGGAGGAACACCGGUGGCGAAGGCAGGUCUCUGGGCAGUAACUGACGCUGAGGAACGAAAGCGUGGGUAGCGAACAGG
rnacentral:rRNA from 1 species